rnacentral:rRNA from 1 species
AUUGAACGCUGGCGGCAGGCCUAACACAUGCAAGUCGAACGAGUGGCGGACGGGUGAGUAAUGCCUGGGAAACUGCCUGAUGGAGGGGGAUAACUACUGGAAACGGUAGCUAAUACCGCAUACCAUCGGAUUUGCCCAGAUGGGAUUGGCUAGUAGGCGGGGAAAUGGCGCACCUAGGCUACGAUCCCUAGCUGGUCGGAGAGUAUGACCAGCCACACUGGAACGUAGGCACGGUCCAGACGCCUCCGGGAGGCAGCAGUGGGGAAUAUUGCACAAUGGGCGCAAGCCUGAUGAAGCCAUGCCGCGUGUAUGAAGAAGGCCUUCGGGUUGUAAAGUACUUUCAGCGGGGAGGCGUUACCCGCAGAAGAAGCAACGGCUAACUCCGUGCCAGCAGCCGCGGUAAUAC